UACGUAGGGUGCGAGCGUUAAUCGGAAUUACUGGGCGUAAAGCGUGCGCAGGCGGUCUGUUAAGACCGAUGUGAAAUCCCCGGGCUUAACCUGGGAACUGCAUUGGUGACUGGCAGGCUUUGAGUGUGGCAGAGGGAGGUAGAAUUCCACGUGUAGCAGUGAAAUGCGUAGAGAUGUGGAGGAACACCGAUGGCGAAGGCAGCCCCCUGGGUUAACACUGACGCUCAUGCACGAAAGCGUGGGGAGCAAACAGG
rnacentral:rRNA from 1 species